GAGGCAUGAGUUUUAAAUGAAUAACUUUUGCUAGAUCCGUUCUCCAAAUGUUUACUAGUUUCCCAGCCAAAUGCUAAUCAGCCUGAGCCUGCGUAGUUUUGGAGCCCAAAGAAGGACCACCAAAUGCUGCCCCCUGAUGUCACUGCAAGAAAAAAAACACACACAAGAGGAAAUGGAGGUCAAGUCAACCGGCAUUUUACUCUUUUCUCAAGAAGACAAGACUAAGUAUUUGUUUACUUUUGAAUCUAUCCUUACCCAGGCAAAUUCCAGGGGGAAAAACAUUUAUGUAUUUCUGAAACAUACAUAGACAAAAAUUAAAUCAACAAUUCCUUUCUGGA